CCUGCCCCUAGAGGCGUUGCAGGUGUGGCUGCUGUGUCACAUGUGCAUCAGAAGGUGGCAGAGAGGACAGAGGCUGUGUCUCUGCUCAGUGUUCUGACCUGUGGACAUCUGAAUGAUUAGUAGUCUAAUACU